UUCCUUACCUGACAAGGGGAGAUACCAUGAUCAUGAAGGUGAUUUUCCCAGGGUGAGGCUCAUUCAUUGCACUCUGGGUGUGCUGACCCCUGCGAUUUCCUCAAAUGUGAGAAACUCGACUGCCCCAUCUUGGGCAGGUGGAAGAGGGAGGUCUGCACCAGU